AACGAACGCUGGCGGCAUGCCUAACACAUGCAAGUCGAACGAGACCUUCGGGUCUAGUGGCGCACGGGUGCGUAACGCGUGGGAACCUGCCCUUAGGUUCGGAAUAACUCCCCGAAAGGGGUGCUAAUACCGGAUACUGUCUUCGGACCAAAGAUUUAUCGCCCUUGGAUGGGCCCGCGUUGGAUUAGCUAGUUGGUAGGGUAAAAGCCUACCAAGGCGACGAUCCAUAGCUGGUCUGAGAGGAUGAUCAGCCACACUGGGACUGAGACACGGCCCAGACUCCUACGGGAAGCAGCAGUGGGGAAUAUUGGACAAUGGGCGAAAGCCUGAUCCAGCAAUGCCGCGUGAGUGAUGAAGGCCUUAGGGUUGUAAAGCUCUUUUACCCGGGAUGAUAAUGACAGUACCGGGAGAAUAAGCGCCGGCUAACUCCGUG
rnacentral:rRNA from 1 species